UACGUAGGGUCCGAGCGUUGUCCGGAAUUAUUGGGCGUAAAGAGCUCGUAGGCGGUUUGUCGCGUCUGCUGUGAAAUCCCGAGGCUCAACCUCGGGUCUGCAGUGGGUACGGGCAGACUGGAGUGCGGUAGGGGAGAAUGGAAUUCUUGGUGUAGCGGUGAAAUGCGUAGAUAUCAAGAGGAACACCUGAGGUGAAGACGGGUUGCUGGGCCGACACUGACGCUGAGGCGCGAAAGCCAGGGGAGCAAACGGG
rnacentral:rRNA from 1 species